rnacentral:rRNA from 1 species
CGCGGGCGUUGGAAAUUUGAGAGGAGCUGUCCUUAGUACGAGAGGACCGGGAUGGACACACCGCUGGUGUACCAGUUGUUCCACCAGGAGCAUGGCUGGGUAGCUAUGUGUGGACGGGAUAAGCGCUGAAAGCAUCUAAGCGUGAAGCCCCCCUCAAGAUGAGAUUUCCCAUACUUUAAAAGUAGUAAGCCCCCUGAAAGACGAUCAGGUUGAUAGGUUUGGAGUGGAAGCUUAGCAAUAAGUGGAGCGGACAAAUACUAAUCGGUCGAGGACUUAUCCAAA